rnacentral:rRNA from 1 species
GACGAACGCUGGCGGCGUGCUUAACACAUGCAAGUCGAACGAUGAAGCCGGAGCUUGCUCUGGUGAAUUAGUGGCGAACGGGUGAGUAACACGUGAGUAACCUGCCCUUGACUCUGGGAUAACUGCGGGAAACUGUAGCUAAUACCGGAUACGACCCUCGGAGGCAUCUCCUGGGGGUGGAAAGAAUUUCGGUCAAGGAUGGACUCGCGGCCUAUCAGCUAGUUGGUGAGGUAAAGGCUCACCAAGGCGACGACGGGUAGCCGGCCUGAGAGGGUGACCGGCCACACUGGGACUGAGACACGGCCCAGACUCCUACGGGAGGCAGCAGUGGGGAAUAUUGCACAAUGGGCGCAAGCCUGAUGCAGCAACGCCGCGUGAGGGAUGACGGCCUUCGGGUUGUAAACCUCUUUUAGCAGGGAAGAAGCGAAAGUGACAGUACCUGCAGAAAAAGCACUGGCUAACUACGUGCCAGCCGCCGCAGUAA